GCUGUAGCUCAGUGUCAAAGUAUCUUCCUUGCAUGCAGAAGGUCAUAGGUUCAAUCCCUGGCAGCUGCA